rnacentral:rRNA from 1 species
GGAUGAACGCUAGCGGGAGGCCUAACACAUGCAAGCCGAGCGGUAUUUGUUCUUCGGGACAGAGAGAGCGGCGUACGGGUGCGGAACACGUGUGCAACCUGCCUUUAUCAGGGGGAUAGCCUUUCGAAAGGAAGAUUAAUACCCCAUAAUAUAUUGAUUGGCAUCAAUUAAUAUUGAAAACUCCGGUGGAUAGAGAUGGGCACGCGCAAGAUUAGAUAGUUGGUGAGGUAACGGCUCACCAAGUCAGUGAUCUUUAGGGGGCCUGAGAGGGUGAUCCCCCACACUGGUACUGAGACACGGACCAGACUCCUACGGGAGGCAGCAGUGAGGAAUAUUGGACAAUGGGUGAGAGCCUGAUCCAGCCAUCCCGCGUGAAGGACGACGGUUCUAUGGAUUGUAAACUUCUUUUAUACUGGGAUAAACCUACCCUCGUGAGGGUAGCUGAAGGUACAGUAUGAAUAAGCACCGGCUAACUCCGUGCCAGCAGCCGCGGUAAUACGGAGGGUGCAAGCGUUAUCCGGAUUUAUUGGGUUUAAAGGGUCCGUAGGCGGAUCUGUAAGUCAGUGGUGAAAUCUCAUAGCUUAACUAUGAAACUGCCAUUGAUACUGCAGGUCUUGAGUAAAGUAGAAGUGGCUGGAAUAAGUAGUGUAGCGGUGAAAUGCAUAGAUAUUACUUAGAACACCAAUUGCGAAGGCAGGUCACUAUGUUUUAACUGACGCUGAUGGACGAAAGCGUGGGGAGCGAACAGGAUUAGAUACCCUGGUAGUCCACGCCGUAAACGAUGCUAACUCGUUUUUGGGUUUUCGGAUUCAGAGACUAAGCGAAAGUGAUAAGUUAGCCACCUGGGGAGUACGUUCGCAAGAAUGAAACUCAAAGGAAUUGACGGGGGCCCGCACAAGCGGUGGAUUAUGUGGUUUAAUUCGAUGAUACGCGAGGAACCUUACCAAGGCUUAAAUGGGAAUUGACAGGUUUAGAAAUAGACUUUUCUUCGGACAAUUUUCAAGGUGCUGCAUGGUUGUCGUCAGCUCGUGCCGUGAGGUGUUAGGUUAAGUCCUGCAACGAGCGCAACCCCUGUCACUAGUUGCCAUCAUUCAGUUGGGGACUCUAGUGAGACUGCCUACGCAAGUAGAGAGGAAGGUGGGGAUGACGUCAAAUCAUCACGGCCCUUACGCCUUGGGCCACACACGUAAUACAAUGGCCAGUACAGAGGGCAGCUACCAGGCGACUGGAUGCGAAUCUCGAAAGCUGGUCUCAGUUCGGAUUGGAGUCUGCAACUCGACUCUAUGAAGCUGGAAUCGCUAGUAAUCGCGCAUCAGCCAUGGCGCGGUGAAUACGUUCCCGGGCCUUGUACACACCGCCCGUCAAGCCAUGGAAGUCUGGGGUACCUGAAGUCGGUGACCGUAACAGGAGCUGCCUAGGGUAAAACAGGUAACUAGGGCUAA